CUAAGACUGGAUAGGAGACAAGAAGGCAUCUUCUUGUUUUUAAAAGACCUAGCAAUAGGUAUGCUUAGGGAGGAGCUUGCGUCACAUUAGUUAGUUGGUGGGGUAAAGGCCUACCAAGACUAUGAUGUGUAGCCGGGCUGAGAGGUUGAACGGCCACAUUGGGACUGAGACACGGCCCAAACUCCUACGGGAGGCAGCAGUAGGGAAUUUUCGGCAAUGGAGGAAACUCUGACCGAGCAACGCCGCGUGAACGAUGAAGUGUUUCGGUACGUAAAGUUCUUUUAUUAGGGAAGAAUAAAUGAUGGAAAAAUCAUUCUGACGGUACCUAAUGAAUAAGCCCCGGCUAACUAUGUGCCAGCAGCCGCGGUAAUACAUAGGGGGCAAGCGUUAUCCGGAAUUAUUGGGCGUAAAGGGUGCGUAGGCGGUUAAAUAAGUUUAUGGUCUAAGUGCAAUGCUCUACAUUGUGAUGCUAUAAAAACUGUUUAGCUAGAGUAAGAUAGAGGCAAGUGGAAUUCCAUGUGUAGUGGUAAAAUACGUAAAUAUAUGGAGGAACACCAGUAGCGAAGGCGGCUUGCUGGGUCUUUACUGACGCUGAGGCACGAAAGCGUGGGGAGCAAACAGGAUUAGAUACCCUGGUAGUCCACGCCGUAAACGAUGAGUACUAAACGUUGGGUAAAACCAGUGUUGAAGUUAACACAUUAAGUACUCCGCCUGAGUAGUACGUACGCAAGUAUGAAACUUAAAGGAAUUGACGGGACUCCGCACAAGCGGUGGAUCAUGUUGUUUAAUUCGAAGGUACCCGAAAAACCUCACCAGGUCUCGACAUGCUUCUGCAAAGCUGUAGAAACACAGUGGAGGUUAUCAGUUGCACAGGUGGUGCAUGGUUGUCGUCAGCUCGUGUCGUGAGAUGUUGGGUUAAGUCCCGCAACGAGCGCAACCCUUAUUGUUAGUUACCAGCACGUAAUGGUGGGGACUUUAGCAAGACUGCCAGUGAUAAAUUGGAGGAAGGUAGGGACGACGUCAAAUCAUCAUGCCCCUUAUGACCUGGGCUACAAACGUGAUACAAUGGCUGUUACAAAGGGUAGCUGAAGCGCAAGUUUUUGGCGAAUCUCAAAAAAACAGUCUCAGUUCGGAUUGAAGUCUGCAACUCGACUUCAUGAAGUUGGAAUCGCUAGUAAUCGCGAAUCAGCAUGUCGCGGUGAAUACGUUGACGGGGUUUGUACACACCGCCCGUCA
rnacentral:rRNA from 2 species